AACGCGAAGAACCUUACCUGGGCUAGACAACGGCGGACCGCCUGAGAAAUCAGGCUUUCCCUUCGGGGCACUUUCACAGGUGGUGCAUGGCUGUCGUCAGCUCGUGUCGUGAGAUGUUGGGUUAAGUCCCGCAACGAGCGCAACCCCCGUCGCAUGUUGCCAGCAUUUAGUUGGGGACUCAUGCGAGACUGCCGGUGACAAACCGGAGGAAGGUGGGGAUGACGUCAAGUCCUCAUGCCCCUUAUGUUCAGGGCUACACACGUGCUACAUUGGCGCAUACAGAGGGCUGCGAUACCGCGAGGUGGAGCGAAUCCCUUAAAGUGCGUCUCGGUUCGGAUUGCAGGCUGAAAUUCGCCUGCAUGAAGGCGGAGUUGCUAGUAAUCGCGGAUCAGCAUUGCCGCGGUGAGUACGUUCCCGGGCCUUUCACACCGGCUAC
rnacentral:rRNA from 1 species